CUACGGGCCGCAGCAGUGGGGAAUAUUGCACAAUGGAGGAAACUCUGAUGCAGCAACGCCGCGUGGAGGAUGACACUUUUCGGAGCGUAAACUCCUUUUAUAUAGGAAGAAGAUGACGGUACUAUAUGAAUAAGCGCCGGCUAACUCCGUGCCAGCAGCCGCGGUAAUACGGAGGGCGCAAGCGUUACUCGGAAUCACUGGGCGUAAAGAGAGUGUAGGCGGAUUAAAAAGUCAGAAGUGAAAUCCUAUAGCUUAACUAUAGAACUGCUUCUGAAACUCUUAAUCUAGAAUAUGGGAGAGGUAGAUGGAAUUUCUGGUGUAGGGGUAAAAUCCGUAGAGAUCAGAAGGAAUACCGAUUGCGAAGGCGAUCUACUAGAACAUUAUUGACGCUGAGACGCGAAAGCGUGGGGAGCAAACAGGAUUAGAUACCCUAGUAGUC
rnacentral:rRNA from 1 species